rnacentral:rRNA from 1 species
AUUGAACGCUGGCGGCAUGCCUAACACAUGCAAGUCGAACGAGUGGCGGACGGGUGAGUAAUGUCUCGGAACCUGCCUGAUGGAGGGGGAUAACUACUGGAAACUGUAGCUAAUACCGCAUACCAUCGGAUGUGCCCAGAUGGGAUUAGCUAGUUGGUGGGGGAAAGGCUCACCCAGGCGACGAUCCCUAGCUGGUCUGAGAGGAUGACCAGCCACACUGGAACUGAGACACGGUCCAGACUCCUACGGGAGGCAGCAGUGGGGAAUAUUGGACAAUGGGCGAAAGCCUGAUGCAGCCAUGCCGCGUGUAUGAAGAAGGCCUUCGGGUUGUAAAGUACUUUCAGCGGGGAGGCGGUACCCGCAGAAUAAGCACCGGCUAACUCCGUGCCAGCAGCCGCGGUAAUAC